rnacentral:rRNA from 1 species
UAAGGAAUAUUGGGCAAUGGACGCAAGUCUGACCCAGCCAUGCCGCGUGAAGGAAGAAGGCGCUACGCGUUGUAAACUUCUUUUGUAUGGGAAGAAUGACUAGGAUUUAUCCUGGGAGAGACGGUACCAUACGAAUAAGCACCGGCUAACUCCGUGCCAGCAGCCGCGGUAAUACGGAGGGUGCAAGCGUUAUCCGGAAUUACUGGGUUUAAAGGGUACGUAGGCGGCUUGUUAAGUCAGGAGUGAAAGACCGUUGCUUAACGACGGAAUUGCUUUUGAAACUGGCGAGCUUGAAACAGGUUAAGGUUUGCGGAAUGCGUCAUGUAGCGGUGAAAUGCAUAGAUAUGACGUAGAACACCGAAAGCGAAGGCAGCGAGCUGAGCCUAGUUUGACGCUGAGG